rnacentral:rRNA from 1 species
AGUAAAGAUAAUAAGGGCGUAUGGUGGAUGCCUUGGCGAUAUCAGCCGAAGAAGGACGCGGUAAGCUGCGAUAAGCUACGGAGAGGUGCAAGCAACCUGUGACCCGUAGAUAUCCGAAUGGGGGAACCCGGCAGUGGUUAUGCACUGUCACCCAUAGCAUAGACUAUGAGGAGGGCACCCGGGGAACUAGUAAUCAAACGAGAUUUUCUUAGUAGCGGCGAGCGAACGGGAAAGAGGCCAAACCGGAGCGGGCAACCGCACCGGGGUUGAGGACAGUCAUCAAGUGUAAAUGAGGUAGAAGAAUCGAGCUGGAAAGCUCAGCCGCAGAAGGUGAAAGCCCUGUAAUCGAAACCUUGCAUACACGGGACUGUAUCCAGAGUACCACGAGACACGUGAAACCUUGUGGGAAGCAGGGGGGACCACCCUCCAAGCCAAAAUACUGAUAUCGACCGAUAGCGCAUAGUACCGUGAGGGAAAGGUGAAAAGAACCCCUGGCGGGGAGUGAAAGAGAACCUGAAACCGUAUGUCUACAAACAGUCGAAGUCUGUAUAUAUAUCAGGACGACGGCGUGCCUAUUGAAGAAUGAACCGACGAGUUACUGUUGCUAGCGAGGUUAAGUGGAAAACAUGGAGCCGCAGCGAAAGCGAGUCUGAACAGGGCGUUCAGUUAGUAAUAGUAGACCCGAAACCGUAGUGAUCUAUCCAUGGCCAGGUUGAAGCACAGGUAAAAUUGUGUGGAGGACCGAACUCGUGAGCGUUGAAAAGCUUUGGGAUGAGUUGUGGAUAGGGGUGAAAUGCCAAUCGAACACGGAGAUAGCUGGUUCUCCCCGAAAUAGCUUUAGGGCUAGCCUCGAGGUAGAGAGUAUAGGCGGUAGAGCACUGAUCGGGCUAGGGGCCAUACCGGUUACCGAACCUAGUCAAACUACGAAUGGCUAUACUUAUACUCGGGAGUCAGACAGUGAAUGAUAAGGUCCAUUGUCAAGAGGGAAACAGCCCAGAACACCGACUAAGGUCCCCAAUGUUACACUAAGUGGCGAAGGAUGUGGAAUUUCCAAAACAACCAGGAUGUUGGCUUAGAAGCAGCCACCAUUUAAAGAGUGCGUAAUAGCUCACUGGUCGAGAGACUCUGCGCCGAAAAUGUCCGGGGCUAAAGUGUAAAACCGAAGUCGUGUCAUAUGCAGCAAUGUAUAUGGGUAGGGGAGCGUUCUCAUCGGGCUGAAGCAGUACCGUAAGGAGUUGUGGACUGAUGAGAAGUGAGAAUGUCGGUAUGAGUAGCGAAAAGAAUGGUGAGAAUCCAUUCCACCGAAAGCCUAAGGGUUCCUGAGCAACGAUCGUCGUCUCAGGGUAAGUCGGGACCUAAGCCGACUAGCAAUAGUCGCGAAGUGAUUGAUCCUACACUGUCGAGAAAAGCUUCUAGGUAGAGACACAUCGCCCGUACCAAAACCGACACAGGUAGGCGGGGAGAGAAUCCUAAGGUGCGCGGGAAAACCCUCGUUAAGGAACUCGGCAAAAUGCCUCCGUAACUUCGGGAAAAGGAGGACUCAUGUAGUGUGAAGAGCAGAAGCGCUUGGAGCAUGAAUGAGUGGCACAAGAGAGGCGCAAGCGACUGUUUACCACAAACACAGGUGCCUGCUAAAGCGAAAGCUGAUGUAUAGGUGCUGACACCUGCCCGGUGCUGGAAGGUUAAGAGGAGGGGUUAGACUUCGGUCGAAGCUCUGAAUUGAAGCCCCAGUAAACGGCGGCCGUAACUAUAACGGUCCUAAGGUAGCGAAAUUCCUUGUCGGGUAAGUUCCGACCCGCACGAAAGGUGUAACGACUUGCGCACUGUCUCAACGAGGGACCCGGUGAAAUUGAAGUACCUGUGAAGAUGCAGGUUACCCGCGACUGGACAGAAAGACCCCAUGGAGCUUUACUGCAACCUAAGAUUGAACUUAGUUAAUGAAUGUACAGGAUAGGUGGGAGACGGAGAACCUAGGACGCCAGUUUUAGGGGAGUCGCUGUUGGGAUACCACCCUUUCAUUAAUUGAUUUCUAACGGGCCGAGUAACGACCGGCCGGACAGUCUUAGGCGGGCAGUUUGACUGGGGCGGUCGCCUCCAAAAGAGUAACGGAGGCGCCCAAAGGUUCCCUCAGAGCGGACGGAAAUCGCUCGAAGAGUGUAAAGGCAGAAGGGAGCUUGACUGCGAGACGGACAGGUCGAGCAGGGACGAAAGUCGGGCUUAGUGAUCCGGUGGUGCCGAGUGGAAGGGCCAUCGCUCAACGGAGAAACUUGAAGGGGGCUGCUCCUAGUACGAGAGGACCGGAGUGGACGAACCGCUGGUGUACCAAUUAUCCUGCCAAGGGUACAGUUGGGUAGCUACGUCCGGGACGGAUAAACGCUGAAAGCAUCUAAGCGUGAAACCAGCCUUGAGAUGAGGUUUCUCAUAACAAAAGUUAGUAAGACCCCUUGUAGACGACAAGGUAGAUAGGCCGGGAGUGGAAGUGCCGCAAGGCACGGAGCGGACCGGUACUAAUCGGUCGAGGGCUUAACUUA